AACAAUCAUGAACCAACUUACAGACAGAAGGUCAGUGACUUAUGCCAUCAGUAAUGAAAAUGUGUGUCCGCUGACUAAUAAUUGAUCAGCAUCAUGUUUAUAUCAGGAAAUAAGGCUCAACAUCUGCAGCCUGUUCGGAAACCUUGACAGGUCCAAGCACCAGGGAAGUGUUUUUGGAAAUUUUUCAGCCACAUGACAUCCUGUCUUUAGUAGAUGGAAGACCUGCUGGUAUUUGCUGCACAAAGACAGAGAUCUCGUUGUGACAAGGACAAGGCGUGACAGAGACAAAGGCAAAUUGCUCAAUGUCUUCAUUAGUGGAGAUCCUGAGAGUGUGCAGACUCUUGUGGUACCAUCAGCCAGUCAGUGUUGUCAGGGGUCCAGUGCCAGCUGAGCAACUGCGAGAUGAAUGGGAAUGCUAACAGACCAUGCUCUUCAGUGACAGAAUACAGCUGGAGCUGGAGAAACCCCCAACAUCCAUGACUGCAGUCACCACAGGAAUAAACCAGAUGGAGGACAGAAUGCUUAUGAUGCACAAAGUGAGGUAAUGAUGUCACGCACUGUAUUGCCCUUUAUAUUAGACUUACUCUUACUUAUUUUCUAAAACCC